rnacentral:rRNA from 1 species
AUUGAACGCUGGCGGCAGGCCUAACACAUGCAAGUCGAACGAGUGGCGGACGGGUGAGUAAUGUCUGGGAAACUGCCUGAUGGAGGGGGAUAACUACUGGAAACGGUAGCUAAUACCGCAUACCAUCGGAUGUGCCCAGAUGGGAUUAGCUAGUAGGUGGGGUAACGGCUCACCUAGGCGACGAUCCCUAGCUGGUCUGGGAGGAUGACCGGCCAAACUGGAACUGAGACACGGGCCAGACGCCUACGGGAGGGAGCAGUGGGGAAUAUUGCACAAUGGGCGCAAGCCUGAUGCAGCAAAGCCGCGUGUAUGAAGAAGGCCUUCGGGUUGGAAAGUACUUGCAGCGGGGAGGCGUUACCCGCAGAAGAAGCACCGGCUAACUCCGUGCCAGCCGCCGCGGUAAUAC